rnacentral:rRNA from 1 species
UGAACCAAAUGGGAUUCCUUAAGUCGAAUUGCGAAUGAACAAGGAAAUGCUCAGCUUGAAAAAUGGGGCCUUCGGCUUUGAAUUGUAAUUUUGAAAUGUAUUGCCAAUGGAGGCGCAGGUGCAAGCCUAUUGAAAGAAAGCGUCAAUGAGGGUGAGAUUCCUUUUUGUCAUUUGCAGUCCUCCGUGCACGGUAUAUAUUUGACGAGUCACACUCCUCGGCAUUGGAAUGCAAAGUGGGUGGUAAAUUCCAUGUAAAGGUAAAUAUAUUAUUGAGACUGAUAGCAAACAAGUACCAUGAGGGAAAUAUGAAAAGGACUUUGAAAAGAGAAUUAAAAGAGUCUGCAUUUGCUGAACAGAAAGCAAACAGAAUUGAUCUUGCCUGGUGAGAUUGUUGCGUCUACUUNUGCAUUUCUAUGUUGGAUGUGGGUGCGAUGGUUCUUGCCUUGAAUGUCACCUUCUUUUUCUGCAAAUCAUUACCCUUGCACAUGAAUGGUAAUUUGCCUGCGGGUAUUGGAAUGCAUGUGUUUGCCAUGAUUUGUAAUUUGAUACAUGUGUCUGGUGGUACUUGUGUGUGUUCCUUUGUCAAAGGGGAAGGUUUGCUUCCUUGAGCACCACAAGCCCUUGCACAAUGUUGCUGGCAAAAUGU